AGCAAGGAAAAGAAAAGCAAGGCAAAGGAAAGCAAAACGGGGAAAAGGGAAAAGGAGAAAAGGAGAAGAAGACAAGUUGCGUGCCGCCGGCGCCACCCGAGGGGAAUCCGGCAGCGGACCCCGCCAGCUGCCCCUCCGCCUCCUCCAGGCCCCGGGCCGCCCUCAGCAACGUGACGCCGCAGGCGGUUGGUAGGGCCGGGGCAGGAAGUGGUUCCUGGCGGCGGAGAGCACUUCCGGGGCAGCGCGGCAUGGCGGCGCCGGGCCGAACAUCGAGGCAUGUGAGUGGCUGAGAAAUGGAGUUGGGGCUCAGGGGAGCAAUCGAGCAACGGGUGCCUGUGUCACAACCUUCCUGAGCGGCCCUUGCAAGGACUGGCACAGUCUUGGAACUCAGUCUGGCGAGGCAGUGAAGAAAGCCAAGGCAGUGCUGCUCUGCUGAGGAAGAAAGCCCAGAAGGAGAGCAAGAAGAACCGAGAAGGGCUUGAGCGAGAAGGCCCACAGGACACUGGGAUCAGCUGGGAUG